rnacentral:rRNA from 1 species
GUGGGGAAUAUUGCUCAAUGGGCGAAAGCCUGAAGCAGCAACGCCGCGUGGGGGAUGAAGGUUCUCGGAUUGUAAACCCCUUUCGAUCGGAACGAAUCCCCUCCCGGUAAAUAAUCGGGAGGAUUGACGGUACCGAGAGAAGAAGCCACGGCUAACUCUGUGCCAGCAGCCGCGGUAAGACAGAGGUGGCGAGCGUUGUUCGGAUUUAUUGGGCGUAAAGCGCACGCAGGCGGUUUGGUAAGUCAGGGGUGAAAUCCCGCAGCUUAACUGCGGUACUGCCUUUGAUACUGCCUUUCUUGAGUGCAUGAGGGGGAAGCGGAAUUCCGAGUGUAGAGGUGAAAUUCGUAGAUAUUCGGAGGAACACCGGUGGCGAAGGCGGCUUCCUGGCAUGUAACUGACGCUCAUGUGCGAAAGCGUGGGGAGCAAACAGGAUUAGAUACCCCUGUAGUCC